CAAAACGCCUCAUCACCAGCCAUACAAAACGCCUCAUCACAAGGGCUAUUUAAGGUUCCCUGGCCCCUCUGUGUUGGCUAAAGACAGGGCUAUUUAAUUAAGGUUCCCUAGCCCCUCUGUGUUGGGUAAGGACUGGUCUAUUUCAUUAAGGUUCCCUGUCCCCUCUGUGUUGGGUAAAGACAGGGCUAUUUAAGGUUCCCUGUCCCCUCUGUGUUGGGUAAAGACAGGAUUUUUACCCCCCCCCUGGCCGUCAAGAGGAGUGCACCAGCUUUGGCGUCUACUCUGAGCCACUCCUGUAGCUUCGUUUCACUGAGACCUAUUCUAUAAUUUCAGAUCUAAAG
ensembl:lncRNA